UACGUAGGGGGCAAGCGUUGUCCGGAUUUAUUGGGCGUAAAGAGCGUGUAGGCGGCCAUGCAGGUCCGUUGUGAAAACUCGAGGCUCAACCUCGAGACGCCGAUGGAAACCGCAUGGCUAGAGUCCGGAAGAGGAGAGUGGAAUUCCUGGUGUAGCGGUGGAAUGCGCAGAUAUCAGGAGGAACACCAAUGGCGAAGGCAGAUCUCUGGGCCGUAACUGACGCUGAGGAGCGAAAGCAUGGGGAGCGAACAGG
rnacentral:rRNA from 1 species